rnacentral:rRNA from 1 species
GAAGAACGCGGGCGGCGUGCUUAACACAUGCAAGUCGAACGGAAAGGCCCUGCUUUUGUGGGGUGCUCGAGUGGCGAACGGGUGAGUAACACGUGAGUAACCUGCCCUUGACUUUGGGAUAACUUCAGGAAACUGGGGCUAAUACCGGAUAGGAGCUCCUGCUGCAUGGUGGGGGUUGGAAAGUUUCGGCGGUUGGGGAUGGACUCGCGGCUUAUCAGCUUGUUGGUGGGGUAGUGGCUUACCAAGGCUUUGACGGGUAGCCGGCCUGAGAGGGUGACCGGCCACAUUGGGACUGAGAUACGGCCCAGACUCCUACGGGAGGCAGCAGUGGGGAAUAUUGCACAAUGGGCGGAAGCCUGAUGCAGCAACGCCGCGUGCGGGAUGACGGCAUUCGGGUUGUAAACCGCUUUCGCCUGUGACGAAGCGUGAGUGACGGUAAUGGGUAAAGAAGCACCGGCUAACUACGUG